rnacentral:rRNA from 1 species
UACGUAGGGUGCGAGCGUUAAUCGGAAUUACUGGGCGUAAAGCGUGCGCAGGCGGUUCGCUGUGUCUGUGGUGAAAGCCCCGGGCUUAACCUGGGAAUUGCCAUGGAAACUGGCGGACUUGAGUGUGGCAGAGGGGGGUGGAAUUCCGCGUGUAGCAGUGAAAUGCGUAGAGAUGCGGAGGAACACCGAUGGCGAAGGCAGCCCCCUGGGCUAACACUGACGCUCAGGCACGAAAGCGUGGGGAGCAAACAGG